GGAUGUCCCGCAAUGGCACUGCAUGAAUUCACGGUUGAGAUCCGGGCCGUGCAUCCAUCGGUUCCAUACCGGGUUCGUCGCCA
rfam:Ancylostoma duodenale strain Zhejiang A_duodenale-1.0_Cont2472.4, whole genome shotgun sequence.